CUUGUAGAUCUCGGCUAAAAACACAGACCUUCACAAACGUCCAUCAGAGAGUUUGAUAUCUACAACGGUUCAACAUGGCAGAUGAAAAGGUGAAGAAGUCAGAGGGCAAACAGGUGGAGGGAAUCUUUGGGUUUGGAAAGAAGGAUAAAGACAAGGAAAAGUGCAAAGACAAGUGUGAUUCUAAGGAUAAAGAUAAGCACAAAGAACACAAAGAUAAAGAACAUAAAGACAAAGACAAGAAGAAGAAGAAAGACAAGGAGCACAAGAAGAAGGACGGUGACAAGUCCUCGUCUUCCUCCAGCGAUUCGGUAACUGUUUUGCUUUUUUAACACAUCAUUUUAAUACACAUACUGUAUUAAUGCACAGGUUCGGUUUGAAGGCAUCGAUAUGAGGAGCAAAGUUUAAGUUGGGAGUGAGUUAUUUUGCAUUUAUUAGCAUUAAUUAUGUGUGUGAACCCAGCAGAUAGACACAAUGACCAAAGAAAGCAGGGUUGGGCUCCAUAAAGGCCAUGAUAGUGGCGUCUCGUAAAACCGGUUGAGCUCGAGGUGUGGUCCAGCUGAACGGCUGUAAAGCGUUUUAAAUGGGCAGAGACUUGAUUCUUCAGGGUCUCCUGGAAAGUUUAGCUGUGAUUUCUUCCCAUCCCACGCUGCAUUCUUGCAGUUAGACGUCACUUAUCACUCUGAUAUCACACAUUUAGAGACACACCCGAUGAGGAAUGUCCAAAAAAACUGCUUUAUUUAGACCCAGAUAAGAUCUUUGUGUAUUCUAGAACGUUGUUUAAGCAAAACAAUAACCUGUUUAGUGAGUACAGAUAAGGUCAGUGGAGGGAAACAAAUCCUGGUUACCACAGUAUCACCUGCACUUCUAUAGGGAAAGUAGUUCAAAGAGGAUUUUUUAAAAAGGUAGUUGAUACAUUGGUAUUUUAAAUAAAAAUGUAUCAACUAUAAAAAUAUUUCCAUCCAUAAAUAUAACAAAAAGGAUAAAGUAAAAAAUAAAAAUUACCGAUAGAUAGAUAGAUAGAUAGAUAGAUAUAGAGAUCUAUAUAUAGAUAUAGAUAGAUAUAUAGAUAUAUAAUUUCAUUUUAACAAACUAAUUAAAUUAUAAAUCAAAAAAUAAACUAUUUAAAAUUGCAUUUAAAAAGUACAUACACACACACACAUAUAUGUGUGUAUAUAUAUAUAUAUAUAUAUGUAUAUGUGUAUAUAUGUAUGUGUGUGUGUAUGUGUGUGUAUUAUUCACUCACAUGCAUACACUCACACUCAUAUAUAAUUGAUCCUACUAGUCUUGUUAACAUACAUAAAAAAAAAAUGUAAUACGCUUUAGAAAGUGUGUGCAUUUUAGUAUGUUUUCACCCAUGGACUUUCAUAACAACUGUUUACUGUAAACUUAAUAAUUAUUAUUUUUUUUUUUAAUGUGUAUGUGCUUGCAACACUAUUGAGAGAUCUGAGCAGCAGUGCUAGAGAUGCAGAAUGAAUGGUAAUGUGGCAGCGGAGGGAUUUCGGGAUGGGUGCAGUGUUUGAUCUUUCAUACGCUGUGGUGUUCAGGAUCAUUUGUAGUCGACUCGUUCGCGGCGAGUAUAACAGAAGAGCGUGAGCUGGUGAUAAAAGCACAUAUCUAUCACACAGUGUCUGUAAAGGAAUAAAUGUGUGCAUUUUAAUAGUCUCUCAGAGGCGAUAACAGCCUCACACGGCCCUUAUGUUCUUGUAUCCUGGUAAAAAUCUCAAGGUUAACGUUUGUAUUUCUGUUUUUUGUAGGACUAAUGCAAGACUGAAGAUUCAUCUGAUACCUCCAAUAUCAUAAUGUAAAAUCUUUAUUAAAUGAUUUUUGUAGACGUAUAAAUGCAAUAUUAUGCAAUGUAGUGGGGAAAAAUCAAUCUCUUGAAGUUUUCAUAAAGUUUUUGAGCUGUAAUUACAAACAUCCACAAGGUGGCGCUACUUACAUGUCAAAUCCUCAGUGAGGCACUGGAAUAAAGAGACUUAUCAGCUAUUGUGUGUGAAAUUGUUUUCUGGUUUAAUAUAUUAUGAGGUUUGAAAUAAUUUUUCACCCAUUUUGUCUGAUAUUAGCUUUCAGUGAUUGCUGGUUAGUGAACUCUUUUUGUUUUGUUAAAUCUUGCCCAGUUUGUUGUACAAAUGUAGGCCAUGUUUGAUCAAUUUAUGUAUGUAGCUAAUAAUCGAUUUUAAAGCAUUCAGCACAAAUGAAUGCAUAUAUAUUAUCAAAAUAAAGCUUUAUCUAGUAACGUAGUUCAUUAGAAAUAGGUUAAAGUGGUUAGGUUAUCCCGCAUCCUCUGAGUUUCACCAUGAAAAUGGAAAAAGUCAGUUGUCAACACGACAAUAUCUUUGUCUGAACAGCACGCUUAUGCAAAUGCAUGGUUGAUUUUGAAGGUUUCAGCACAGAUCUGUCUCGUUUGAGCACGAUUUGUUUGCUUAUUCAUCUAUGUUUGAGUACGGCACAGAUAAUUCAUCUGAACAGCAGGGACGAAACGCGGCUGCUUCCAAACUCUGUUUUGGACGUUCUUUGCUGGGCUGAAGACAACUGUAUGCCAGAGAUAAGAGAACAGGACGAUUGUUGCCCAGAGGCGGAAGAGAGGGAUAUUUCUCUCUGUCCAUCAGACUGAGACAGUCUUUCUCUCUUAUUCUGUGCCAAACGCCUGCAGGAUAAAUGCAAAGCACUGUGUUGCAUUUUUAUUUUAUAUUUUCAGCCACACCCUGUCAAUCUUUCACAUGCAUAUUUCAUCAAACACACUGAAGAUGCUGAAAGUUUAAUCGGGGGAAAAGUUGGCUUGUUUGGGCGGUUGGAGCUGUUCAGUGCGGUCGGGGUCAGAGAUCUGAACAUCAGCAGAAUCUCAGCAGCAUCUGCUGCUCUGCACAUUUCUCACAGAAGAUGGAUGGAAAUGCAGAGAAGUUUUUCUCAGGUGUGUGAGGGGUUACUUAGCUGUACUUUGAGGACAAAUUGGUCCCAGAAGUAACUAAAUCGGGCAAAAUUUGACUGCGGUCAAAAAAUUAAAUUGCACGUAAAAUAAAUGAUGUUGUUGUAUUCUUUGAGGGUUAAUAUUAAUUAUUAUAUUAGAAGUUAGGUGUAUGUGUGUGUAUGGAGUGCCACAUCUUUAAAAAUUAAAUUGAACAUGAAUAAAUAAAUAAUAAUUUAAAUAAUAAAUAAUUAAUUACAUUUAGUGAAUGAAUACAUUUAUAAUGGAUUACUUUGUUUUCCUUUAUUUUAUUUCUGUAUUAACUUUUUUUGCUUUAUUUUUU
ensembl:lncRNA